GAAGCCCGCCAGACCGCCGCUGGUGCAAUCUGGGAAACCAGGCACUGGAGGAACGUCCGGACUGCAUAGGGCAGCGUAGCAGCUAAUGGCUGUCCACCGUGAGGUGAGGAUUAGAGCAACAGAGACGAGUCAAGUCAGGUCAGCCUAACAAGGGUGGUCUGUGCGAUGCCAGCGCAAGCUGGCAAAGGGCGGCGUAAGCCGACCGGUCCCGGCGCAAGCCGGGAAAGCACAGCACCCAAGUCGGGCAAAGCCCGACUUGGGUGAAACGGGCAAUCUCUACGCGCAGCAAUACCAAAUAGGCCAACGUUGACGGGGCCCCCUGAGUUGGCGGGUAGGUAGCACCGAGCCGGGCGAGCGAUCCCCGGCCCAGAUUAAUGGCGGUCACACGGGAGGUAACUCCCGCGCACAGAAUCCGGCUUAUCGGUGGGCUUCACAC
rnacentral:RNase_P_RNA from 1 species